rnacentral:lncRNA from 1 species
GAAGAGGUAUAGAUAUUGGUAUUGGAUAUUCAUUUUAUAUGGAUUUCUAAAUCACCAUGGGUCCUACGUUGGAAUUCUUUAGCUCCAUAGGUGUAUAUAGAGAUUGUGCUACAACCUCACGCAUCACAUCAUCAUCAUCAUUAUUUUCUUUACACUUCAUAUAUUGUGUUUAUGAUAUGAUUGUAUUUUCAUCUUUAGCUUGAUAUCUAUCCAUUUGGUGUACCUUUC